rnacentral:lncRNA from 1 species
GACCAGAAAGGUCAGUGGAAUAGGCAAUGACAUCAUGAUACUUUUGUUCAAAAUGAAACUAUGGAAGCAAGAAACCAGCACUUUAUAUUCAGAAAUGGGGGGGGGGGUGUUAAUUUGGUUUCUGUGACUUUUUUUAAAUUUCUGAAUGGUUUAGGACAAGGGAUGGAUUUUAAGUCUAGAAAUUUUAAAGGAAAAAUAGUUUUGUUGCCCAGCCUCAUGACGUCACAUGCUCAGCAGCAGCUCUCCUUUAAGAGCCAGGAGGGCCACAAGUGUGGUUGAGGGGUGAACUCCUGCCCCUUUUUGGAUCAACUUGGCAAUCCCAAUACCUAGAGGCUAAGUUCAAGGCCAGCCUGGCUGUACGUGAGGCCCUUAUCUCAAAGCAGUUGCUUGCAUUCUAACCCGAUUGGUGACCUAGCUAUUGGAAAGUGAUAGCUCCUGGAGUGACCUAGCUUUCAGAUAAGUUGGUGGAGCGAUUAGUCUUUAGAUUAGUGCGUGGACUCUUGGAGGACGGGGAGUAGGUGCUGGUGGAGCACCUCAGUCAGUGUGGCAUUACUCUGCACUGAGCCUUACUGAGUCAUAUACAAGACCAGUAGAUAAAAUAUUUCCACUAUUUAAAAAAAAACAACCCUCAGUAGGGCAUGGUAGCAAUAUCUGUUAUCUCAGAGAGAGGCAGGAAGAUCUCUGAGUUCAAGGCCGGCCAGCCAAGGCUACCUAAACCCUGUCUCAAAAAAAAAAAAAAAAAAA